ACGAACGCUGGCGGCGUGCUUAACACAUGCCAGUCGAACGGAAAGGCCCUGCUUUUGUGGGGUGCUCGAGUGGCGAACGGGUGAGUAACACGUGAGUAACCUGCCCUUGACUUUGGGAUAACUUCAGGAAACUGGGGCUAAUACCGGAUAGGAGCUCCUGCUGCAUGGUGGGGGUUGGAAAGUUUCGGCUGUUGGGGAUGGACUCGCGGCUUAUCAGCUUGUUGGUGGGGUAGUGGCUUACCAAGGCUUUGACGGGUAGCCGGCCUGAGAGGGUGACCGGCCACAUUGGGACUGAGAUACGGCCCAGACUCCUACGGGAGGCAGCAGUGGGGAAUAUUGCACAAUGGGCGGAAGCCUGAUGCAGCAACGCCGCGUGCGGGAUGACGGCCUUCGGGUUGUAAACCGCUUUCGCCUGUGACGAAGCGUGAGUGACGGUAAUGGGUAAAGAAGCACCGGCUAACUACGUG
rnacentral:rRNA from 1 species